AUUGAACGCUGGCGGCAGGCUUAACACAUGCAAGUCGAGCGGAGAGAAGUAGCUUGCUACUGAUCUUAGCGGCGGACGGGUGAGUAAUGCUUAGGAAUCUGCCUAUUAGUGGGGGACAACAUUUCGAAAGGAAUGCUAAUACCGCAUACGUCCUACGGGAGAAAGCAGGGGAUCUUCGGACCUUGCGCUAACAGAUGAGCCUAAGUCGGAUUAGCUAGUUGGUGGGGUAAAGGCCUACCAAGGCGACGAUCUGUAGCGGGUCUGAGAGGAUGGUCCGCGACACUGGGACUGAGACACGGCCGAGACUCCUGCGGGAGGCAGCAGUGGGAAAUAUUGGCGAAUGGGCGGAAGCCUGAUCCAGGCAUGCCGCGUGUGAGAAGAAGGCCUUAUGGUUGUAAAGCACUAUAAGCGAGGAGGAGGCUACUUUAGUUAAUACCUAGAGAUAGUGGACGUUACUCGCAGAAUAAGCACCGGCUAACUCUGUGCCAGCCGCCGCGGUAAAAC
rnacentral:rRNA from 1 species